rnacentral:rRNA from 1 species
GAAGGGGGCAAGCGUUGUUCGGAAUUACUGGGCGUAAAGGGAGUGUAGGCGGUUUAGUAAGAUAGUGGUGAAAUCCCAGGGCUUAACUUUGGAAUUGCCAUUAUAACUAUUAGACUAGAAUUACAGAGAGGAUAGUGGAAUACCCAGUGUAGAGGUGAAAUUCGUAGAUAUUGGGUAGAACACCAGUGGCGAAGGCGACUAUCUGGCUGUACAUUGACGCUGAGGCUCGAAAGCAUGGGGAUCA